rnacentral:misc_RNA from 1 species
UAUGCAACCUGUGUGCCGGAGAUGGUGUUGCGGACAUAGUUGGGAGACGAUUUGGUCGGCGAAAGCUUCCUUACAACCUGAACAAGUCCUUUGCAGGUAGUAUUGCAAUGGCGGCUGCAGGUUUCUUAGCAUCUAUCGGAUACAUGCAUUACUUGUCUUCGUUUGGAUUCAUGGAGGAAAGUUGGAGCAUGGUUGUAGGCUUCCUGGUUGUAUCUCUUGCUGCGGCAUUUGUUGAGUCACUGCCAAUCAGUUCAGAGUUGGAUGAUAACUUGACUGUACCCUUGACCUCUGUGUUUGUUG